rnacentral:ncRNA from 2 species
AUGAACAACUAGGGGUGCUCUGCGACAUCUCAUACUGAGGUAAGGGUCAGUGGGAUGUUGCAAAUGGGCUGAGAUCAUACCCUUGGAACCUGACCGGGAUAAUUCCUGCGUAAGGGAAAGUUGUAUAGAUUUGAU